ACUCACACGUUCCUCUCUAUCUCUCUCUCUCUCUCUCUCUUGUUUCUCAACCUCUCGGUCGUCUCUCACCUUCUCUGCAAAUCCUUCGUCUCUUUCUUCUUCGAUGGCGUCGUGGCGGCGGAUGAGGGGAUUGGCUGGGUGGAUGUCCCAAUCGCAAGCGGCGUAGAUAGAGACGACGUAGAAGGCCGCAGAUUAUCUGAUCACUUCUCUCUUCCCCUGCCUUCUGUUCUUGGUUCACGACAGUUCUUCUGUUCUUCGGCCUUCUCUUUUGAUUUCGAAAUUUCCAUGGGUGUUUUGAUUUACAUGGAACAAGAUGUAUUACAUGUUUCUUGGUAUAGGGUUUUUGAUUUUGUUCGAAUUGUUUUGGGGAUUUUCGUCCUGCCAAAUAUUGUUUGCUAUAGGAAAUUCAAUUUUGUUUCAAGUUCAUUUCGACUUUUGUUUCAUUGAGCGUUCAUUGUUUUGUUGGGCGACGAUGCAUAUCAUAUUCGAGAAUUAAAAUUUUUCUUGUGGUUAAUCCUAGUUCGGCGGUUAUUCUUUUUGCCGACAUUUCUAUUCGCACUUUGUUGGUCUUUCGAACAUCGCAUUUGUUCAAACAAUGAAGCAAGCUUCAAAUCCAGAUGAAACUUUAGAAUCGAUUAGUGCGGCGCCGGCUGGGAAGGAGGCGUCGGCCGCUGUUCUUUGUUUUCACCGGAGAAGGAAGUGCGUGUGAAACUCAGGCAUGACCCAGAUCUUCAGACCCAGAUCUUCAGAGCAGACAACAUCAACUCAGCAAAAACAAAAUUGUGUUUUGUUCAUUUAGAAUUGGGUUCUGUUCAUUUAUUAGAAUUGUGUUCAGUAAAUCUAAAUAAGGUUUUCGUUUUUGCUAUGAAAUCUGAUUUUUUUUU